GGCGGGUUGCCCGAGCGGCCAAUGGGAGCGGACUGUAAAUCCGUCGCGAAAGCUACCCAGGUUCGAAUCCUGGACCCGCCACCA
rnacentral:tRNA from 1 species